AUAUCUUAUCGCAUUAACGAGAUUCAACGAUAAGGUCGAGAACACUUAUGGAAGCUUUGAGCUUACGCAUAUUAAGAGAAGUUAUCAUAGAUUGCUGAAAACUAAAUAGAUGUGAGCGAUCGCACACCAGCGCGAUGUAAGAACGGCGCCACGUGCACCAACCUGUUCAACAAGUACACGUGUGACUGUGUGCCGGACUGGCAACGAUAUGACUGCGAAAAAGGCAAACAAGGCGUGUGUGUGAUGUUGUUGGUUGCAGUUGCCUUGAGAAUGGUGAUACACCGUUUUGAUUGAUUCCUGUUGCAUAACCAACAUAUGUAGGGUUACAAUGUUGUUAAAGUCUUGUCUUGUUUUAUUAUAACUUAUUGUGUUAACAUUCGAUUAGUACACAGACUACAUGGUCUGGAGUUACAAAUCAGUAUGUUAUCUUCAAAUAGGUAAAUAUAAGAUCGAUGUUGGACGAAAUAUUUUUUUAAAGAAGACACAAAUUGAAAGAAAACAUCUAACCAUUUCAGUAACAAAGACCUGAAAUUUUUAAGAACUGUGUGUUGUUUGCUGUGAAUACUGUUCGUUCAGUCUCCGGUAAUUGUUGUUAUGUCGUCACUUUUUUCGUUAUUUUAAGAACUUCUCCAUUGUUUUAAUAGUUUUUCGUUUAGGU